rnacentral:miRNA from 1 species
UAUGUUAACUGAUUUCAUGGAU